rnacentral:rRNA from 1 species
GACGAACGCUGGCGGCGUGCCUAAUACAUGCAAGUAGAACGCUGAAGGAGGAGCUUGCUUCUCUGGAUGAGUUGCGAACGGGUGAGUAACGCGUAGGUAACCUGCCUGGUAGCGGGGGAUAACUUUUGGAAACGAUAGCUAAUACCGCAUAAUAGUAGAUGUUGCAUGACAUUUGCUUAAAAGGUGCAAUUGCUUCACUACCAGAUGGACCUGCGUUGUAUUAGCUAGUUGGUGAGGUAACGGCUCACCAAGGCAACGAUACAUAGCCGACCUGAGAGGGUGAUCGGCCACACUGGGACUGAGACACGGCCCAGACGCCUACGGGAGGCAGCAGUAGGGAAUCGUCGGCAAUGGACGGAAGUCUGACCGAGCAACGCCGCGUGAGUGAAGAAGGUUGUCGGAUCGUAAAGCUCUGUUGUAAGAGAAGAACGAGUGUGAGAGUGGAAAGUUCACACUGUGACGGUAUCUUACCAGAAAGGGACGGCUAACUACGUG